rnacentral:rRNA from 1 species
UAGGGAAUCUUCGGCAAUGGACGGAAGUCUGACCGAGCAACGCCGCGUGAGUGAAGAAGGUUUUCGGAUCGUAAAGCUCUGUUGUAAGAGAAGAACGAGUGUGAGAGUGGAAAGUUCACACUGUGACGGUAUCUUACCAGAAAGGGACGGCUAACUACGUGCCAGCGGCCGCGGUAAUACGUAGGUCCCGAGCGUUGUCCGGAUUUAUUGGGCGUAAAGCGAGCGCAGGCGGUUAGAUAAGUCUGAAGUUAAAGGCUGUGGCUUAACCAUAGUACGCUUUGGAAACUGUUUAACUUGAGUGCAAGAGGGGAGAGUGGAAUUCCAUGUGUAGCGGUGAAAUGCGUAGAUAUAUGGAGGAACACCGGUGGCGAAAGCGGCUCUCUGGCUUGUAACUGACGCUGAGGCUCGAAAGCGUGGGGAGCAAACAGGAUUAGAUACCCUGGUAGUCCACGCCGUAAACGAUGAGUGCUAGGUGUUAGACCCUUUCCGGGGUUUAGUGCCGCAGCUAACGCAUUAAGCACUCCGCCUGGGGAGUACGACCGCAAGGUUG